GGUAUUAUUUAAAUUCCUAUAUUGGUUUCUCAUAAUCUCAUUUCAGUUGCUGUUCGUCGGAGAAUCGUUGAGAUUAUCGGGCGUUCGGCGGUGAGAUGAGUUUGGUCAACACUCACAGAAGCUCUGCGCCGAUUCGUUCCCUCUCUCCUUCUUCAUCCUCCAUUUCCCGUUGCUCCCACACUUUCACUUCCUCUUCUGAUUAUGUUACGUGUGGAACACCAACUUGGAUUGGGAAGGGAAUCACUUGCAUCUGCUUCAAGCGGAAGGGAAGUUUGGAACGAAUUUGUAUCAACCUGACUCCUGUACAGGAAGAUAGGUUAAGAAGAUUAAAGCACCGCAUGAAGGUCUACUUUGAUGGUUCAAGAAUCAACCACCAGGAGGCUUUAAGAGCUCUGUGGUAUGCAGCUUAUCCUGGUCAAGAGCUUCAAGCGUUGGUAUCAGAUCAAUGGAAGGAAAUGGGAUGGCAGGGAAGAGACCCGUCAACUGAUUUUAGAGGAGCUGGAUUUAUCUCUUUGGAGAAUUUGUUGUUCUUUGCAAAGACGUUCUCAACGUCUUUCCAACUUCUGUUGAGAAAACAAGGAGGAAAGCCAGCUGCUUGGGAAUAUCCCUUUGCUGUAGCUGGUGUAAAUAUCACAUUUAUGAUCAUGCAAAUGCUUGAUCUAGAUGCUUCAAAACCAAGGACUUUUAUCAGAUCGGUUUUCCUGCAGAUGUUGUCAGAGAAUGAAUGGGCAUUUGACUUGCUUUACUGCGUCGCGUUCGUUGUUAUGGACAAACAAUGGCUGGAGAGAAAUGCUACCUACAUGGAGUUCAAUGUAAGAAUAAAUUAAGGGACUCAACUCAAGCUUAUUCACUUUGUAGUAGUGGAAAAAAAAAAUUCUCUGAGAAUUCUAACUCGUAUUUACAUUUCGACGAUGUUCAGGAUGUGUUGAAGUCCACCAGAGCUCAGUUGGAAAAAGAACUUUUAAUGGAGGAUGUAUUACGCAUUGAAGACAUGCCUUCUUACAACCUUCUUCUAACAUUAGAUUACAGGUAGUAUAAUCUGUCAAACCACUCUCAAUGAAAGGGUUAAUUAAAGUUAACUAUGUGUGUGUUUGUAUGUACGUAGUGCGCUUUAUAUAGUUAUAUAUCUACAGGUGAAGAUUAUUAUUUUGAUCUCUAUACUUUGAAGUUUGUUCAAUUUUAGUUUUUCUAUUAGAAUUUUACUUUAAAUUGUUUCCCUAUGUAUUGUAAUGGUUAUGACAUGAGGGAACACGAUCAAAUCUACUAUCAACAAAUUGCUUAGCGAUUGUGUUUUAAGAUCAUGUGGGACCCACUUUUUAAAAAUAUACUUUUGAGCAAUUUUUUCAAAA